rnacentral:rRNA from 1 species
UACGAAGGGGGCUAGCGUUGCUCGGAAUCACUGGGCGUAAAGGGUGCGUAGGCGGGUCUUUAAGUCGAGGGGUGAAAUCCUGGAGCUCAACUCCAGAACUGCCUUUGAUACUGAGGAUCUUGAGUUCGGGAGAGGUGAGUGGAACUGCGAGUGUAGAGGUGAAAUUCGUAGAUAUUCGCAAGAACACCAGUGGCGAAGGCGGACUCACUGGCCCGAUACUGACGCUGAGGCACGAAAGCGUGGG